rnacentral:rRNA from 1 species
UGGGAAGCCGGCUUCGAGAUGAGAUUUCGUUAUUAGGUGCCCUAGAGAUGAUGGGGUUGAUAGGCCAGAUGUGGGAGCCCUGUGAGGGGUGGAGCUGACUGGUACUAAUACGCCGAUCACUCACCCAA